rnacentral:tRNA from 1 species
UCUAUUGUAGGUUAAGGUGGCUAGACUGUGGGUUUGUGAUACCUAAGGUUUACGGUAUGUAACAAUAGAU